CAGUGUUCCCUGCCCUCCGGGGUAGGAUCGCCACCCGUGGUUACUUAUACGUGUUGCUUUGGCGGGCCUCGCGGCCUAGCCGCGCCCCGGCUCCGGCGGGGGAGCGCCCGCCAGAGAACUCCAAACCCUGAAUAUUAGUGUCGUCUGAGUACUAUAUAAUAGUUA
rnacentral:misc_RNA from 1 species